rnacentral:rRNA from 1 species
GGGUUGUGAGGUUAAGCGACUAAGCGUACACGGUGGAUGCCCUGGCAGUCAGAGGCGAUGAAGGGCGUGCUAAUCUGCGAUAAGCGCCGGUAAGGUGAUAUGAACCGUUAUAACCGGCGAUACCCGAAUGGGGAAACCCAGUGUGAUUCGUCACACUAUCAUUAACUGAAUCCAUAGGUUAAUGAGGCGAACCGGGGGAACUGAAACAUCUAAGUACCCCGAGGAAAAGAAAUCAACCGAGAUUCCCCCAGUAGCGGCGAGCGAACGGGGAGGAGCCCAGAGCCUGAAUCAGCAUGUGUGUUAGUGGAAGCGUCUGGAAAGGCGCGCGAUACAGGGUGACAGCCCCGUACACAAAAGCGCAUGUGCUGUGAGCUCGAUGAGUAGGGCGGGACACGUGGUAUCCUGUCUGAAUAUGGGGGGACCAUCCUCCAAGGCUAAAUACUCCUGACUGACCGAUAGUGAACCAGUACCGUGAGGGAAAGGCGAAAAGAACCCCGGCGAGGGGAGUGAAAAAGAACCUGAAACCGUGUACGUACAAGCAGUGGGAGCACNNNNNNNNNNNNNNNNNNNNNNNNNNUUUGUAUAAUGGGUCAGCGACUUAUAUUCUGUAGCAAGGUUAACCGAAUAGGGGAGCCGGAGGGAAACCGAGUCUUAAUUGGGCGUUAAGUUGCAGGGUAUAGACCCGAAACCCGGUGAUCUAGCCAUGGGCAGGUUGAAGGUUGGGUAACACUAACUGGAGGACCGAACCGACUAAUGUUGAAAAAUUAGCGGAUGACCUGUGGCUGGGGGUGAAAGGCCAAUCAAACCGGGAGAUAGCUGGUUCUCCCCGAAAGCUAUUUAGGUAGCGCCUCGUGAAUUCAUCUCCGGGGGUAGAGCACUGUUUCGGCUAGGGGGCCAUCCCGGCUUACCAACCCGAUGCAAACUGCGAAUACCGGAGAAUGUUAUCACGGGAGACACACGGCGGGUGCUAACGUCCGUCGUGAAGAGGGAAACAACCCAGACCGCCAGCUAAGGUCCCAAAGUCAUGGUUAAGUGGGAAACGAUGUGGGAAGGCCCAGACAGCCAGGAUGUUGGCUUAGAAGCAGCCAUCAUUUAAAGAAAGCGUAAUAGCUCACUGGUCGAGUCGGCCUGCGCGGAAGAUGUAACGGGGCUAAACCAUGCACCGAAGCUGCGGCAGCGACACUGUGUGUUGUUGGGUAGGGGAGCGUUCUGUAAGCCUGUGAAGGUGUGUCGUGAGGCAUGCUGGAGGUAUCAGAAGUGCGAAUGCUGACAUAAGUAACGAUAAAGCGGGUGAAAAGCCCGCUCGCCGGAAGACCAAGGGUUCCUGUCCAACGUUAAUCGGGGCAGGGUGAGUCGACCCCUAAGGCGAGGCCGAAAGGCGUAGUCGAUGGGAAACGGGUUAAUAUUCCCGUACUUGGUGUUACUGCGAAGGGGGGACGGAGAAGGCUAUGUUGGCCGGGCGACGGUUGUCCCGGUUUAAGCGUGUAGGUGUGUGUUCCAGGUAAAUCCGGUUCACUUUAACACUGAGGCGUGACGACGAGGCACUACGGUGCUGAAGCAACAAAUGCCCUGCUUCCAGGAAAAGCCUCUAAGCAUCAGGUAACAUCAAAUCGUACCCCAAACCGACACAGGUGGUCAGGUAGAGAAUACCAAGGCGCUUGAGAGAACUCGGGUGAAGGAACUAGGCAAAAUGGUGCCGUAACUUCGGGAGAAGGCACGCUGACACGUAGGUGAAGUGAUUUACUCAUGGAGCUGAAGUCAGUCGAAGAUACCAGCUGGCUGCAACUGUUUAUUAAAAACACAGCACUGUGCAAACACGAAAGUGGACGUAUACGGUGUGACGCCUGCCCGGUGCCGGAAGGUUAAUUGAUGGGGUCAGCGCAAGCGAAGCUCCUGAUCGAAGCCCCGGUAAACGGCGGCCGUAACUAUAACGGUCCUAAGGUAGCGAAAUUCCUUGUCGGGUAAGUUCCGACCUGCACGAAUGGCGUAAUGAUGGCCAGGCUGUCUCCACCCGAGACUCAGUGAAAUUGAACUCGCUGUGAAGAUGCAGUGUACCCGCGGCAAGACGGAAAGACCCCGUGAACCUUUACUAUAGCUUGACACUGAACAUUGAGCCUUGAUGUGUAGGAUAGGUGGGAGGCUUUGAAGUGUGGACGCCAGUCUGCAUGGAGCCGACCUUGAAAUACCACCCUUUAAUGUUUGAUGUUCUAACGUGGACCCGUUACCCGGGUUGCGGACAGUGUCUGGUGGGUAGUUUGACUGGGGCGGUCUCCUCCUAAAGAGUAACGGAGGAGCACGAAGGUUGGCUAAUCCUGGUCGGACAUCAGGAGGUUAGUGCAAUGGCAUAAGCCAGCUUGACUGCGAGCGUGACGGCGCGAGCAGGUGCGAAAGCAGGUCAUAGUGAUCCGGUGGUUCUGAAUGGAAGGGCCAUCGCUCAACGGAUAAAAGGUACUCCGGGGAUAACAGGCUGAUACCGCCCAAGAGUUCAUAUCGACGGCGGUGUUUGGCACCUCGAUGUCGGCUCAUCACAUCCUGGGGCUGAAGUAGGUCCCAAGGGUAUGGCUGUUCGCCAUUUAAAGUGGUACGCGAGCUGGGUUUAGAACGUCGUGAGACAGUUCGGUCCCUAUCUGCCGUGGGCGCUGGAGAACUGAGGGGGGCUGCUCCUAGUACGAGAGGACCGGAGUGGACGCAUCACUGGUGUUCGGGUUGUCAUGCCAAUGGCACUGCCCGGUAGCUAAAUGCGGAAGAGAUAAGUGCUGAAAGCAUCUAAGCACGAAACUUGCCCCGAGAUGAGUUCUCCCUGAGACUUAGAGUCUCCUGAAGGAACGUUGAAGACGACGACGUUGAUAGGCCGGGUGUGUAAGCGCAGCGAUGCGUUGAGCUAACCGGUACUAAUGAACCGUGAGGCUUAACCUUACAACGCCGAAG